rnacentral:lncRNA from 14 species
GGAUGGGCAGGACGUGCCAGGCUCCAGCAGCUCCCAGCCUGGACAAGCUGUGAGCAGCUCCUGUGUGCAGCACCAGGUGCCAGGAGAUGGACCCCCCUGCGGGGCAAGAGCCCGCAAAGGUGCUCGGAGUGGUCCUGGGUGUCGGGCUGGCCUUGCUGAUCCUGGUGGGCUUUGGCUACAUCUUCAUCCGGCGGUACCAGAGGGGCCAGUGCUGGUGCCGGCCUGAUUUCGUUUUCAACCUCUAC